UACGAAGGGGGCUAGCGUUGCUCGGGAUCACUGGGCGUAAAGGGUGCGUAGGCGGGUGUUUAAGUCAGGGGUGAAAUCCUGGAGCUCAACUCCAGAACUGCCUUUGAUACUGAAGAUCUUGAGUUCGGGAGAGGUGAGUGGAACUGCGAGUGUAGAGGUGAAAUUCGUAGAUAUUCGCAAGAACACCAGUGGCUAAGGCGGCUCACUGGCCCGAUACUGACGCUGAGGCACGAAAGCGUGGGGAGCAAACAGG
rnacentral:rRNA from 1 species